rnacentral:rRNA from 1 species
GGGGGUGACGCAGGAAGGUAGUCCAGCCCAGGCGAUGGUUGUCCUGGGGUAAGCAUGUAGGGCGGAACGUAGGUAAAUCCGCGUUCUAUUCAGCCUGAGAUGUGAUGCCGAGCCGAUUGUGGUGAAGUGGAUGAUCCUAUGCUGCCGAGAAAAGCCUCUAGUGAGUGUUGUGGCGGCCCGUACCCUAAACCGACUCAGGUGGUCAGGUAGAGAAUACCAAGGCGAUCGGGUGAACUGUGGUUAAGGAACUCGGCAAAUUGCCCCCGUAACUUCGGGAGAAGGGGGACCUCUGCUGGUGAUGGGCUUUACGUUCUGAGCUGGUGGGGGUCGCAGUGGCCAGGGGGAAGCGACUGUUUACUAAAAACACAGGUCCGUGCGAAGUCGUAAGACGAUGUAUACGGACUGACGCCUGCCCGGUGCCGGAACGUUAAGGGGACCGCUUAGCCAGCUUCGGUUGGCGAAGGUGAGAACUUAAGCGCCGGUAAACGGCGGUGGUAACUAUAACCAUCCUAAGGUAGCGAAAUUCCUUGUCGGGUAAGUUCCGACCUGCACGAAUGGCGUAACGACUUCCCCGCUGUCUCAACCACAGACCCGGCGAAAUUGCACUACGAGUAAAGAUGCUCGUUUUGCGCAGCAGGACGGAAAGACCCCGGGACCUUCACUACAGCUUGACAUUGGCGUUUGGAACGUCUUGUGUAGGAUAGGUGGGAGACUGGGAAGCUGUCACGCUAGUGAUGGUGGAGUCAUUGGUGAAAUACCACUCUGGUCGUUUUGAACGUCUAACUCUGGUCCGUGAUCCGGAUCGGGGACAGUGUCUGGUGGGUAGUUUAACUGGGGCGGUUGCCUCCUAAAGAGUAACGGAGGCGCCCAAAGGUUCCCUCAGCCUGGUUGGCAAUCAGGUGUUGAGUGUAAGUGCACAAGGGAGCUUGACUGUGAGACUGACAGGUCGAGCAGUAGCGAAAGCUGGGACUAGUGAUCCGGCAUCGGCGUGUGGAAGCGGUGUCGCUCAACGGCUAAAAGGUACCCCGGGGAUAACAGGCUGAUCUUCCCCAAGAGUCCAUAUCGACGGGAUGGUUUGGCACCUCGAUGUCGGCUCGUCGCAUCCUGGGGCUGGAGUAGGUCCCAAGGGUUGGGCUGUUCGCCCAUUAAAGCGGUACGCGAGCUGGGUUUAGAACGUCGCGAGACAGUUCGGUCCCUAUCCGCUGCGCGCGCAGGAGACUUGAAGGGGGCUGUCCCUAGUACGAGAGGACCGGGACGGACGAACCUCUGGUGUGCCAGUUGUACCGCCAGGUGCACGGCUGGUUGGCUACGUUCGGAAGGGAUAACCGCUGAAAGCAUCUAAGCGGGAAGCUCGCCUUGAGAUGAGGUCUCCCACCCUGUGAGGGGGUAAGGCUCCCGGUAGAUCACCGGGUUGAUAGGCCGGAGGUGGAAGCACGGUAACGUGUGGAGCUGACCGGUACUAAUAGGCCGAGGACUUGACCAA